rfam:Fibrella sp. ES10-3-2-2, complete genome.
GUUGGUGACGACGGGCGGGUGCACACCUUUUCCCAUUCCGAACAGAGCCGUUAAGCCCCGCACUGCCGAUGGUACUGGUGUCACGACCGGGAGAGUAGGCGGUCGCCACCC